ensembl:lncRNA
UUACAAGCACAGUUGGCAGAUGUUGUCUCCAAGAUGAAGUGUUCCAGAUAUAAGCUGGAUAUUCUUCCUCCACGUCUUUUCAAAGACAUUUUUACAUCUGUUAGUGCCAGUGUGACAUCAAUAAUUAAUAGCUCAUAAGCAAAUGGAGUUGUUCCAAACAGUUUUAAACAUGCAAUUCUACAUUCAUUGUUAAAAAAAACUCUCUUGGAUCUGACAAUACACAAUAAUUAUAGACGAAUCUCUAAAUUGCCUUUUAUGUCCAUAUUUCUGGAAAGAGUUGUCUAUACACAGCUCUAUUCCGAUCUAAAUUCACCCAACCUUCUAGAUACAUUUCAGUCAGGCUUUAGACCUUUGCCCAGCACAGAAUCCGCAUUGUUGAAGAUCACCAAUGACAUUUUGCUCUCCAUAGAUUCUGGCUCACAUGUUGUUUUUGUUUUAUUAGCUCUCAGUGCCACAUUUGACACUACCGACCAUAACAUUCUUCUCAAUCAUCUUGAGUGUUUGGUUGGCAUCCAGGGAACGGCCCUUCAGUGGUUUCCCUCCUAUCUGAAAGACAGGGCAUUCUCUGUGAACUUAGCGAAUUUUUCUUCUACAGCAGCUCAGUUAUCAUGUUGUCACGAUUUCCCCUUGAAGCAGCGUGCUCUAAGCGCGACUGCGCGAGCACCUGCUUUUCCGUAGUUGACAGUAGUGACAUUUGGACAUGUGUGUUUGUUUAUGUUUCUGUCAUUUCUCCUCCCUGUUCUGUCAUUGGCUGGGAUUUUCACGUGUGUCUGAAUCGCCCUCAGCUGUGAGCAUUUACGACACUGAUCAUGUCCGCUUAUAUACAGCGCGCCUCCCAGCACACAACACGGAAUAUUAUAGUAGCUUAGUUUAGUGUCCUUACGAUAGAUAAUCAUAGUCAUAGUUCAUGUUUCAUGUUUCAUGUUUAGAAUCAUAGUCAUAGUGCAUGUCAUGUUUCAUGUUUAGGUUCGUUUGUUAAGCUCACGCUGGUUUCUUCGCUACCAGUCCCAAGCUAUUUCAUGUUUCUUGUUUUGUUUCUCGACCCUGUAUUUCCGUGACCGCGACGUUGAUUCCUGCCUUGCCCCUUUAUGCCUGUUUGCUGAUCGCCUGAACCUUGCAUGUUACUGGAUUACAAUUGUGGAUCACGUUUUGGAUUUGUCUGCCUGUCUCUCUCUUAAAUAAACCUGUUUAUACUGCGAUUGCAUCCUACCUCAUCUCCGUUACGUCACAAUACGUGACGGAAUAUUGGAUGCAGCACGAGAACAGGGAGGACGCAGAACCCGGAGGUCCACGCCAAUCAUCCCUGCCUUGGAUUCUAUGCAGUUCUCGCAAUGGAAUUUGAUGGACCUUCCCGAUCGGUAUGAUGGCUUCUUUGGUUAUCCGGACUAUUUUAUGAUUGACUGCCAGAGUUACUUCUCCAGCCUGUUUGACCCAAAGCCAAGGGAGAAAAAAUGGAUUAAGUUCAUGAUGUCCCGAUUUUUUGGCCCCGCUCGUAAGUGGGCACAGCGAGUAGCAGCCAUGAGACCCCGGGUACUGGAGGACAGUAGGCAGUUCUCGGACCUGUUUCUGAGGGAGUUUGGAGAACCAGGGCAGAGCUACAACUUGGAUGAGUUGUUGAAGGGAGUUAAUGUGGUGAACAGUGCUGAUCUUCCAUUCCACAUGCAUUAUGAGCGGAUGAGCCACCAAGUUGAUGUUAACACGGACAACCAAGUCCAAGUCAAGUCUCCAGUCACUGAAGUCCAAGUCAAGUCUCAAGUCCCUGAGGUCCAAGUCCAAGUCAAGUCUCAAGUCCCUGAGGUCCAAGUCCAAGUCAAGUCUCAAGUCCCUGAGGUCCAAGUCAAGUCUCCAGUCUCUGAAAUCCAAGUCAAGUCUCAAGUUCCUGAUGUCACACCCAAGUCUACUGAUACGGUCGACCAAGUUCUGCUCACGCCCAAGUCUAACGACACGGCCGACCACGUUCUGCUCAAGCCCGAGUCUACCGACCCGGUCGCCCAAGUUCAGCCCACGCCCAAGUCUACCGACCCGGUCGCUCAAGCUCAUCCCACGCCCAAGACUACCGACACGACCACCCAAGUUCUGCUCACGCCUGAGUCUGCCGACACGCACAGCCAAGUUCUGCUCACGCCCGAGUCUGCCGACAUGGCCACCCAAGCUCCGCCCAUGCCCAAGGUUCACCUGGUGACCUCAGAGCCUCAGCCUCCCUGGUCAGCCGUGGAUAUUGCUCAGCCUCCCUGGUCAGCCGUGGACGUCGCUCAGCCUCCCUUGUCAGCCGUGGACGUCGCUCAGCCUCCCUGGUCAGCCAUGGACUUCGCUCAGCCUCCCUGGUCAGCCGUGGACGUCGCUCAGCCUCCCUGGUCAGCCGAGGUCGUCGCUCAGCUUCCCUGUUCAGCCGAGGUUGUCGCUCAGCCUUCCUGUUUAGCCGAGGUCGUUGCUCAGCCUUCCUGUUCAGCCGAGGUCAUCGCUCAGUCUCCCUGUUCAGCUGUGGAUGUCGCUCAGCCUUCCUGCUCCAUGGCGAACAUCGUUCCCCCCUCCUGCUUCGAGGAGACCCACGCUCCUCUACCUGGCCGCACGGAGACGCACGCUCCUCUCCCUGGCCACACGGAGACCCACGCUCCUCUCCCUGGACGCACGGAGACCCACUCUCCUCUCCCUGGCCGCAUGGAGACCCACGCUCCUCUCCCUGGCCUCACGGAGACCCAUGCUCCU